ACUGACUCUAUCCUUUCUUUUCACUUACAGUCCUGACCAUUGAACCACUGUGGUUUAAUUAUGCAAAACUGGGGUUGAAGAUUCAAGAUAUUGCUCAGAUUGUUCUGCAAUAAACUCUUCUGAUUCAACAGUGUCAGCAGGAAGGAGCCCAUGAGUGCCAAACUAACCCCAUCUCUGCAGCCAGUUGGGCCAUCACAUGAAAGCAGGAUUCUUGCUUCUCAAUUACUCAGCUCUGUUGUCCAGGUCGAAGCAGCAGUUGAUGCUACACAGAAAGACAAGCCAAGGAGACCUUGCUCAGGUUUCCUUACAUUCCAAAAAGAGAGCCCAAGUCACUAGCUUGGAGUAAUUUGAAGUUAAUCUCCCACUGAUAUCUUCAUGAGCAUCUCUGCUACACCCCUCAAGAAAAUGACCCCAACAAAGCUGUACAAACAUGGUGUGUCUGUGAUUCCAUUUCCCUCUGGACUGUGGAGCUGGAUUCAUGUCACCAGCACACCGACAAACAAAAGGAAAUCCCUUGCUGCAGGAUAUUGCAGUCACAGGUCACGAAUGUUUAAGCAGGAGUUACUGCCAUCCAGAGGAGAAAAGCCAUAAGCUGCCGUAUUUCAUUAUUUUUUAAGCAUGGAAAGGUAAGCCUAAAUGGUUCAUUCAGUUUC
rnacentral:lncRNA from 1 species